CCGAGCUUAGCUCAGGUGGCAGAGCGAUGGUCUGUAAGCGUGGCUUCGAAAGGAAACGAUCACCAUAGGUCACCAGUUCGACCCUGGUAGCUCGGA
rnacentral:tRNA from 1 species